GGAGGCUAUUGAGCGUCUUGGUGCCGAUUCAUUUUUGGUCGUAUAAACUUGUAUACUUUACAUUGACUUUUGCUUAUUCUAAUAUCAUUCUUGUUAAAUAUUGCUUCUUUUAAAUAAUUGAGACAGUGUCUGCAAGUCACCGACUUCUGCCUUUGACUGGUCUAUUGAAGUCCCAUGGAAAACUAAUUUUGGUUGGUGCACCAAAGAAGCCAUUUGAGCUA
rnacentral:misc_RNA from 1 species